rnacentral:rRNA from 1 species
UGAUACUGCAGGUCUUGAGUGUUGUUGAAGUAGCUGGAAUAAGUAGUGUAGCGGUGAAAUGCAUAGAUAUUACUUAGAACACCAAUUGCGAAGGCAGGUUACUAAGCAACAACUGACGCUGAUGGACGAAAGCGUGGGGAGCGAACAGGAUUAGAUACCCUGGUAGUCCACGCCGUAAACGAUGCUAACUCGUUUUUGGGUUUUCGGAUUCAGAGACUAAGCGAAAGUGAUAAGUUAGCCACCUGGGGAGUACGUUCGCAAGAAUGAAACUCAAAGGAAUUGACGGGGGCCCGCACAAGCGGUGGAUUAUGUGGUUUAAUUCGAUGAUACGCGAGGAACCUUACCAAGGCUUAAAUGGGAAAUGACAGGUUUAGAAAUAGACUUUUCUUCGGACAUUUUUCAAGGUGCUGCAUGGUUGUCGUCAGCUCGUGCCGUGAGGUGUUAGGUUAAGUCCUGCAACGAGCGCAACCCCUGUCACUAGUUGCCAUCAUUAAGUUGGGGACUCUAGUGAGACUGCCUACGCAAGUAGAGAGGAAGGUGGGGAUGACGUCAAAUCAUCACGGCCCUUACGCCUUGGGCCACACACGUAAUACAAUGGCCAGUACAGAGGGCAGCUACACGGUGACGUGAUGCAAAUCUCGAAAGCUGGUCUCAGUUCGGAUUGGAGUCUGCAACUCGACUCUAUGAAGCUGGAAUCGCUAGUAAUCGCGCAUCAGCCAUGGCGCGGUGAAUACGUUCCCGGGCCUUGUACACACCGCCCGUCAAGCCAUGGAAGNCUGGGGUACCUGAAGUCGGUGA